rnacentral:rRNA from 1 species
GAUGAACGCUAGCUACAGGCUUAACACAUGCAAGUCGAGGGGCAGCAUUUUAGUUUGCUUGCAAACUAAAGAUGGCGACCGGCGCACGGGUGAGUAACACGUAUCCAACCUGCCGAUAACUCGGGGAUAGCCUUUCGAAAGAAAGAUUAAUAUCCGAUAGUAUAUUAAAACCGCAUGGUUUUACUAUUAAAGAAUUUCGGUUAUCGAUGGGGAUGCGUUCCAUUAGUUUGUUGGCGGGGUAACGGCCCACCAAGACUACGAUGGAUAGGGGUUCUGAGAGGAAGGUCCCCCACAUUGGAACUGAGACACGGUCCAAACUCCUACGGGAGGCAGCAGUGAGGAAUAUUGGUCAAUGGACGAGAGUCUGAACCAGCCAAGUAGCGUGAAGGAUGACUGCCCUAUGGGUUGUAAACUUCUUUUAUAUGGGAAUAAAGUAUUCCACGUGUGGGAUUUUGUAUGUACCAUAUGAAUAAGGAUCGGCUAACUCCGUGCCAGCAGCCGCGGUAAUACGGAGGAUCCGAGCGUUAUCCGGAUUUAUUGGGUUUAAAGGGAGCGUAGGUGGAUUGUUAAGUCAGUUGUGAAAGUUUGCGGCUCAACCGUAAAAUUGCAGUUGAAACUGGCAGUCUUGAGUACAGUAGAGGUGGGCGGAAUUCGUGGUGUAGCGGUGAAAUGCUUAGAUAUCACGAAGAACUCCGAUUGCGAAGGCAGCUCACUAGACUGCAACUGACACUGAUGCUCGAAAGUGUGGGUAUCAAACAGGAUUAGAUACCCUGGUAGUCCACACAGUAAACGAUGAAUACUCGCUGUUUGCGAUAUACAGUAAGCGGCCAAGCGAAAGCAUUAAGUAUUCCACCUGGG